AAGGCCUUCGGGUUGUAAACUGCUUUUGUACGGAACGAAACGGUUCGCCUUAAUACGGUGGGCUAAUGACGGUACCGUAAGAAUAAGCACCGGCUAACUACGUGCCAGCAGCCGCGGUAAUACGUAGGGUGCGAGCGUUAAUCGGAAUUCCUGGGCGUAAAGCGUGCGCAGGCGGUUAUAUAAGACGGAUGUGAAAUCCCCGGGCUCAACCUGGGACCUGCAUUUGUGACUGUAUAGCUAGAGUACGGUAGAGGGGGAUGGAAUUCCGCGUGUAGCAGUGAAAUGCGUAGAUAUGCGGAGGAACACCGAUGGCGAAGGCAAUCCCCUGGACCUGUACUGACGCUCAUGCACAAAAGCGUGGGGAGCAAACAGGAUUAGAUACCCUGGUAGA
rnacentral:rRNA from 1 species